GAAAAAAAUCGCAGCAAUUCUUGUGGUGGGACGGCGCAUGGGCAGGAUGGUGUAACCAUCCGGCGAUAGCCACCCAUGCGCAGACACGAGGCCCUUACGGGGCCUUUUUUUAUGCCUUCAA
rnacentral:sRNA from 1 species